AUUGAACGCUGGCGGUAGGCUUAACACAUGCAAGUCGAGCGGAGAUGAGGUGCUUGCACCUUAUCUUAGCGGCGGACGGGUGAGUAAUGCUUAGGAAUCUGCCUAUUAGUGGGGGACAACAUUCCGAAAGGAAUGCUAAUACCGCAUACGUCCUACGGGAGAAAGCAGGGGAUCUUCGGACUUUGCGCUAAUAGAUGAGCCUAAGUCGGAUUAGCUAGUUGGUGGGGUAAAGGCCUACCAAGGCGACGAUCUGUAGCGGGUCUGAGAGGAUGAUCCGCCACACUGGGACUGAGACACGGCCCAGACUCCUACGGGAGGCAGCAGUGGGGAAUAUUGGACAAUGGGGGGAACCCUGAUCCAGCCAUGCCGCGUGUGUGAAGAAGGCCUUAUGGUUGUAAAGCACCUUAAGCGAGGAGGAGGCUACUGAGACUAAUACUCUUGGAUAGUGGACGUUACUCGCAGAAUAAGCACCGGCUAACUCUGUGCCAGCCGCCGCCGUAACAC
rnacentral:rRNA from 1 species